CCUCCACAACAGUUUCCUUUGGUAUUUCUGAGACUGUUUCUUCAACUGUGAUAUUGAGUUCUUCAGUUGGCUUGAAAGGAGCUAAUGGUGCUGGCUGCGAAACUGUCUCUACCGUAGUCGUUUGCGUUACAAUUGACGACCACGAUUGAGUUGACGGUUGUGAAUCAACGAUUUCAAUAUCCUUGGAUUCAGUUACUUUUGGUUCCUCAACAACAAUCGGUUUCUCAACAACAGGUUCAGGUUCCUUUUGUUUCUUUUCCUUCUUCGACUUCUUCUUAGGCUCAACGACUUCCUUAACUUCCUCCACAACAGUUUCCUUUGGUAUUUCUGAG